rnacentral:rRNA from 1 species
GGGGAAUAUUGGACAAUGGGCGCAAGCCUGAUCCAGCAAUGCCGCGUGUGUGAAGAAGGCCUGCGGGUUGUAAAGCACUUUUGUUCGGGAAGAAAACGGAUCGGUUAAUACCCGGUUCGGAUGACGGUACCGAAAGAAUAAGCACCGGCUAACUUCGUGCCAGCAGCCGCGGUAAUACGAAGGGUGCAAGCGUUAAUCGGAAUUACUGAGCGUAAAGCGUGCGUAGGCGGCUUUUUAAGUCGGAUGUGAAAUCCCCGGGCUCAACCUGGGAAUGGCAUCCGAUACUGGGGAGCUAGAGUUUGGGAGAGGGUGGUGGAAUUCCCGGUGUAGCGGUGAAAUGCGUAGAGAUCGGGAGGAACAUCAGUGGCGAAGGCGGCCACCUGGCCUAAAACUGGCGCUGAGGCACGAAAGCGUGGGGAGCAAAC